UACGAAGGGUGCAAGCGUUAAUCGGAAUUACUGGGCGUAAAGCGCGCGUGGGUGGUUCGUUAAGUUGGAUGUGAAAGCCCCGGGCUCAACCUGGGAACUGCAUCCAAAACUGGCGAGCUAGAGUAUGGCAGAGGGUGGUGGAAUUUCCUGUGUAGCGGUGAAAUGCGUAGAUAUAGGAAGGAACACCAGUGGCGAAGGCGACCACCUGGGCUAAUACUGACACUGAGGUGCGAAAGCGUGGGGAGCAAACAGG
rnacentral:rRNA from 1 species